rnacentral:rRNA from 1 species
CGGUACGUACUGGCAUUGUUGGUUUCUCCCUUCUGACGAACCAUGAUGUCAUUUAUUUGGUGUUGUGGGGAAUCAGGACUGUUACUUUGAAAAAAUUAGAGUGUUUAAAGCAGGCUCACGCUUGAAUACAUUAGCAUGGAAUAAUGAAAUAGGACGUUUGAUUCUAUUUUGUUGGUUUCUAGGAUCGACGUAAUGAUUAAUAGGGAUAGUUGGGGGCAUUAGUAUUCAAUUGUCAGAGGUGAAAUUCUUGGAUUUAUUGAAGACUAACUACUGCGAAAGCAUUUGCCAAGGAUGUUUUCAUUAAUCAAGAACGAAAGUUAGGGGAUCGAAGACGAUCAGAUACCGUCGUAGUCUUAACCAUAAACUACGCCGACUAGGGAUCGGAUGAUGUUAAUUUUUUAAUGACUCAUUCGGCGCCUUACG